GAUGAACGCUAGCUACAGGCUUAACACAUGCAAGUCGAGGGGCAGCAUGAUCGAAGCUUGCUUUGAUUGAUGGCGACCGGCGCACGGGUGAGUAACGCGUAUCCAACCUUCCCUGUAGUAGAGGAUAGCCCGGCGAAAGUCGGAUUAAUACUCUAUGUUGUAUUUCGAAGACAUCUGAAGAAUACCAAAGGUUUACCGCUAUAGGAUGGGGAUGCGUCUGAUUAGGUUGUUGGCGGGGUAACGGCCCACCAAGCCUACGAUCAGUAGGGGUUCUGAGAGGAAGGUCCCCCACAUUGGAACUGAGACACGGUCCAGACUCCUACGGGAGGCAGCAGUGAGGAAUAUUGGUCAAUGGGCGAGAGCCUGAACCAGCCAAGUAGCGUGAAGGAAGACUGCCCUAUGGGUUGUAAAACUUCUUUUUAUACGGGAAUAAAGCCCACUACGUGUAGUGGUUUGUAUGUACCGUAUGAAUAAGCAUCGGCUAACUCCGUGCCAGCAGCC
rnacentral:rRNA from 1 species